UCCAAUCAACCAAAAAAUCGAUUGGAACAAAAAUGCAAUCUACACAAUUUAUCCGACAUAUCAGAAGAUUACCAACUUAACACUUCCAUUCAACGACACCGCCACCUAAGCUACUAAUCUGCAAUCUGCAUAAACUUGUCACCAAGUUUUUACCAUUCAGACCUUCGCUCGCCCAAAAAAAUCUUGUUCACCAACUCCUCCUGGUCAACAAUACAGUAUUUUUUGUAAAAAAAACCAUAUGUAUUACAAAGAGAUGCAAUCUACCAAACAUCACAUUAGCAUGAAAGCCUCCGCCUCCUUCUGAAGUUAGUUUCAUCACAAUUUUUUUUGUAUUAUCAGGGUUACUCCUGAAAAACACAUACAAUCGAAUAAUGAAAUACAGAGAGAGGACAGCUUCACAUUUAUUUUCUGCGUAUAGAAAAGUCCAUUCGACUUUUGACAAACAAAGGGGAAAAAUAAUAUAUUUAUUUCCAGCCUACAGGCUAGAUUUCAAUUUGGCUCACCUCUUUUCAUCUUCAAGAUGAACAACAAAUUGAAACCGAAUCCGAAAUGUUAUUUGAUGUCCAUUCUGUUUGAUGUAUGUAGGUAAAAAUAGGUAAAAUUGAAUGUUUUUGUGGCAAAACAUGCAAUUCAUAUAUGAAUCUUGAGGUUGGACGACUUCUCGAAAUGUCCAAACAAUAUUAAACAAAUGGCAAUAUUACGAGCUGCCCUGCCCUUUCUGAAAAUAUAAAACUGUGGAUGUUGUGUAUUGUGCAAAUUGGAACAAUAGGAUGGUUGACUAUGGAAUCUAAUUAAAAAUAGGUAUAUCAAUAUUUAUUAACUUACAAACAUGAACUAGUAAAUUUCUUGCAUUUGAAGCUAGUUUCCCAUGAACGUUUUCCACUCGAUUCGAUGAAAUGAGAAGCUAAAACUAAAGAAAGAUUUAGCUCUGUCCGUCUUUUAAAUCCCUUAAGUAGUUCAUGCCUGAACAGACAAUUUCUGUAUCAAAUCGUCCUCAACAUUGGUCCAAAAUACAUUUCAGACAGCUCAUCUAUGAAUUUAAACAGUUUCUCAACCACAAGAAUUGAGACCACAACUUUCUCACUAAACUCUAAUCCUGUAUUGGUUCCUUCCUAAAUACUUUAUGCAUUGACCAAAAAACAAUAAGUUUUGGAGGAAAUGGAAGAAUUGGAUUUUCUCUGAAGCAAUCAAGGACUGUAUUUAUUUGCAAACGUAUGUAAUAGCGUCCAGUGUUAUUUGUUUCAGCAAAUAUCUGCCUUCUUUUCUAUAUACCAGUCUUGGAUUAUUUGUUACGCUCAAGAGGACAAUUUGGACUCACUGAUGAAUGUCCACUAAGCUUUGUUCAAUUUAGUUACGAAUACUGCAAAUGUCUAGACAAAGUCAUUUCAUUUAUUCACUAAAUCAGCAUUUCUCUUUAAACCAUUCUAUGUACGUCUCCAACAUUUGGACAACAUCAUAGUUUUUCAUCAAGUCAACACAUUUCAAGCAUGAAUGAUUACAACCGAGUGAAAAUGAAUGACAAAAGCUCCAGGAAAACUGGAGGCAAGUUGAGACAGUCUGAUGUUUAACUUCAAGCACCAACAUAAAUUGUGUACAUCUGCUUCUGACAUACAGAUAUUUAGCAUUUGGGGUGAUGUGACACUUCCAAUUGUUUAUGACAAGGUCGCCCCCCAUUAAUUACUUGCCUGCUUGACUACGCACGGUUCAUAUUUGCAUUAUCAUAGCUAAUCACGCCAUAUGCGAAAUGAUCGGCCUAAUUACCAAAUUUGACUGGGGCGCAAUAUUCCACCCCUGAAACUGAUGUGUAUAAAAAUUGGAGGCCCAGGUGUGCAUUUAAUUACAAAAGUGAAGGGGUUGGGGGAGUACCUAUCUCCCUUGGAUCGAUUCAAGCGUGGCUGGUGUAGUGGGUGGAAUAAUUAGGGUCCCUUCCAGCCCUUUGUUUGCGCGUGCAUGGUAAAAAGUGCAAGAAGAACCACAACUUUUAUUGUUGGUUCAUUAUUGAGGACGAGACCCUUAUUUUACGCUGAACAAACGUGAAAAGCUUAACAUGAAACUCAUCCUACUUUCCUCAGGUAAACUUUAUAAAUCUCUCCAGACAACGAAAAGUCUGUAAUAAGUUCGUCUGUAAUAAAACUUUCAUCUCAUCCUCAAGCUUCAAUGCACCCGUGUUAUGUUUUCCGCUUCUUAUCACGAUAGCGACCUUACCUUUGACUUGUUACCGGAUAGUACUAUUUAUGUUUGAAGACUAUCAAGGAACGUGACGCAAACGGAAAUGGAACAGGUGUGAUAUUGCUUUCCGUGGUUUUGACAUGUAUUAAUGUAUGCUCUUCUGUACAUACAUACAUGCAUUGUAUAUUUACAAUACACAAAUAAAUACACUGAUUUCAUUGAUUUUGUCAUUAGUCAUAUUUGUAUUUGCAAAAUUUUGACUGGUCAUUGUAUUCAUUGAAGGUAAUCUAGAAUGGAAAUGUGGAAUUCGUUACAUUUGGUUUCGAAUUGUCACAUUAGAUUUGAUUUGUUUGAGGUAAUUAUAGGGUAAACAGUAGGAGAACACACAUGUUAGUGGAUGGAUUGAACACACGAUUGAAGCUUAUUACCUUCAUGAAAAUUAGAGCACCAGCCAACACCGCCACACAAAAGUCGGCCGAUUGUGUGGUACUCGAAAUGCCAUAAAAUUUCAAUUGCUGGAAAAAUUGAUGCCUUCCUUAUCUACUUUCAACCAUCACGUUUGUUAUUUGCAAUAAGU